UACAGAGGUGUCAAACGUUGUCCGGAAUUACUGGGCGUAAAGGGCGCGUAGGCGGCCUUAUAAGUCAGAUGUGAGAGCUCCGGACUCAACCCGGGAAUUGCAUCUGAUACUGUAAAGCUUGAGUUCGGUAGAGGAGGGCGGAAUUCCAGGUGUAGCGGUGAAAUGCGUGGAUAUCUGGAGGAACACCCGUGGCGGAGGCGGCUCUCUGGUCCGAAACUGACGCUGAGGUGCGAAAGCUAGGGUAGCAAACAGG
rnacentral:rRNA from 1 species